AUGCACGCUGGCGGCGUGCCUAAUACAUGCAAGUCGAGCGAACAGACGAGGAGCUUGCUCCUCUGACACUAGCGGCGGACGGGUGAGUAACACGUGGAUAACCUACCUAUAAGACUGGGAUAACUUCGGGAAACCGGAGCUAAUACCGGAUAAUAUAUUGAACCGCAUGGUUCAAUAGUGAAAGACGGUUUUGCUGUCACUUAUAGAUGGAUCCGCGCCGCAUUAGCUAGUUGGUAAGGUAACGGCUUACCAAGGCAACGAUGCGUAGCCGACCUGAGAGGGUGAUCGGCCACACUGGAACUGAGACACGGUCCAGACUCCUACGGGAGGCAGCAGUAGGGAAUCUUCCGCAAUGGGCGAAAGCCUGACGGAGCAACGCCGCGUGAGUGAUGAAGGUCUUCGGAUCGUAAAACUCUGUUAUUAGGGAAGAACAAAUGUGUAAGUAACUAUGCACGUCUUGACGGUACCUAAUCAGAAAGCCACGGCUAACUACGUG
rnacentral:rRNA from 1 species